rnacentral:piRNA from 1 species
UGAAGUAUGUGCCUGGUGUGAAAUGAUC